ACUUAGAGACGCAGUCCCCGAAAGUGCCCAGGGAGCGCGGGCGGUGCGCCCUACUGCAAGCCUGGGAAUUGCCCUAGGACGGUGCACCUCGUUGUGUUUGCGGAAUCUGGGGGUGGGGGAGAGCGGGAUAGGAUAACAAGAAGAAGGAAAAAGCAGUCGCCGUUGUCCCCGCAACUGUCCUGCAGCCUCUCAUCACCCAGUCCUGGAGACUCCUACUGGGCUCCGAGGAUCUAAGAGAGACACCUUUGGACCGGACCUUGCUUGAUCAUCUGAGGCCAGCGCUUUCUGUCCAUCGAACGAGAUCCUAACAGAAGGAUGAUGGACCGAGCGGGACGGCAGGGCGCGCACAUCUUGGAAAUGGGCAUCAGCGAGGGCGGAGCGAGUAGAGCAAAGAUGGAGAGAAAAGAGAGCAUGAUGUUCUUGGUAUUUUUGAACAAUGCUUUCUAAAUGACGGCGAAGGAGUUCCAAGGAGAGCUGGCAGCCUUGCUCCUGAUCUCAAAGGUCCACUCAUUUUCGUGUCCCUUUUGCUUCUGGCAACACAGUGGAGUCCUUGUACCCCACCAGUUCAGAAAUUACACCCAUGGCCCAGUAACCCAUUCACGAUCCCUGCCACUGUCAAUAAAAGCAGUAAUAGCUGAUA